AGCCUAGUGGUUAGAGUGUAGAGGCGGCAGGUAGCCUAGUGGUUAGAGUGUAGGGACGGCAGGUAGCCUAGUGGUUAGAGUGUAGGGACGGCAGGUAGACUAGUGGUUAGAGUGUAGGGACGGCAGGUAGCCUAGUGGUUAGAGUGUAGGGACGGCAGGUAGACUAGUGGUUAGAGUGUAGGGACGGCAGGUAGACUAGUGGUUAGAGUGUAGGGACGGCAGGUAGCCUAGUGGUUAGAGUGUAGGGACGGCAGGUAGACUAGUGGUUAGAGUGUAGGGACGGCAGGUAGCCUAGUGGUUAGAGUGUAGGGACGGCAGGUAGCCUAGUGGUUAGAGUGUAGGGACGGCAGGUAGCCUAGUGGUUAGAGUGUAGGGACGGCAGGUAGCCUAGUGGUUAGAGUGUAGGGACGGCAGGUAGCCUAGUGGUUAGAGUGUAGGGACGGCAGGUAGACUAGUGGUUAGAGUGUAGGGACGGCAGGUAGCCUAGUGGUUAGAGUGUAGGGACGGCAGGUAGACUAGUGGUUAGAGUGUACGGACGGCAGGUAGCCUAGUGGUUAGAGUGUAGGGACGGCAGGUAGACUAGUGGUUAGAGUGUA